rnacentral:rRNA from 1 species
CCACCAAGCCAAAAAUCCUUAUGGGCCUUGAAAGAGGUACCCCAAAGAAGGACACUGAAAUACUGGUCCUACCCCUACGGGGUGCAGCAGGCGCGAAACCUUUACAAUGCACGCAAGUGUGAUAAGGGGACCCCAAGUGCUCAUGUUUUACAUGGGUUUUUGCCAAAAGAAAAAAUCUUGGCAAAUAAAUGGUGGGAAAAACUGGUGCCAGCACCCGCGGUACCACCACCGCCAUAAGUAGCAAUCAAAAUUAUUGGGCCUAAACCGUCCGUAGCCGGUUUGAUCAUUCUUUUGUGGAAUCGUUGGGCUUAACUUAACGUUGUGCAAAAAAUACUGUCUAACUUGAAACCGGGAGGAGUCAAAGGUAUUCUGGGGGGAGCGGUAAAAUGCUAUAAUCCCUGAAGGACCGCCUGUGGCGAAAGCGUCUGACUAGAACGGCUUUGACGGGGAGGAACAAAAG